AUACGUAGGUGGCAAGCGUUGUCCGGAUUUAUUGGGCGUAAAGCGAGCGCAGGCGGUUUCUUAAGUCUGAUGUGAAAGCCCCCGGCUCAACCGGGGAGGGUCAUUGGAAACUGGAGACUUGAGUGCAGAAGAGGAGAGUGGAAUUCCAUGUGUAGCGGUGAAAUGCGUAGAUAUAUGGAGGAACACCAGUGGCGAAGGCGGCUCUCGGGUCUGUAACUGACGCUGAGGCUCGAAAGCGUGGGGAGCAAACAGGAUUAGAUACCCUGGUAGUCCACGCCGUAAACGAUGAGUGCUAAGUGUUGGAGGGUUUCCGCCCUUCAGUGCUGCAGCAAACGCAUUAGGCACUCCGCCUGGGGAGUACGACCGCAAGGUUGAAACUCAAAGGAAUUGACGGGG
rnacentral:rRNA from 1 species